UACAGAGGUGGCAAGCGUUGUUCGGAAUUACUGGGCGUAAAGCGUGCGUAGUCGGUAUUGAGAGUCGCGGGUGAAAUCCCAGGGCUUAACCCUGGAACUGCCUGCGAGACCUCAGUACUAGAGUGUGAGAGGGGAUAGUGGAAUACCAAGUGUAGCGGUGAAAUGCGUAGAGAUUUGGUGGAACACCGGUGGCGAAGGCGGCUAUCUGGCUCACAACUGACGAUCAGGCACGAAAGCGUGGGGAGCAAACAGG
rnacentral:rRNA from 1 species